CUUGCUUGCGUUUAUGUACUGC
rnacentral:miRNA from 1 species